rnacentral:rRNA from 1 species
GAUGAACGCUAGCGGCAGGCCUAACACAUGCAAGUCGAGGGGUAGAGUUCUUCGGAACUUGAGACCGGCGCACGGGUGCGUAACGCGUAUGCAAUCUACCUUAUACAGGGGAAUAGCCCAGAGAAAUUUGGAUUAAUGCCCCAUAGUAUUAUUGAAUGGCAUCAUUUAAUAAUUAAAGUUCCAACGGUAUAAGAUGAGCAUGCGUCCCAUUAGUUAGUUGGUAAGUUAACGGCUUACCAAGACGAUGAUGGGUAGGGGUCCUGAGAGGGAGAUCCCCCACACUGGUACUGAGACACGGACCAGACUCCUACGGGAGGCAGCAGUGAGGAAUAUUGGUCAAUGGUCGCAAGACUGAACCAGCCAUGCCGCGUGCAGGAAGACGGUCCUAUGGAUUGUAAACUGCUUUUAUACAGGAAGAAACCCUCCCACGUGUGGGAGCUUGACGGUACUGUAGGAAUAAGGAUCGGCUAACUCCGUGCCAGCAGCCGCCGCAGUAA